CCUACGGGAGGCUGCAGUGAGGAAUAUUGGUCAAUGGGCGCAAGCCUGACCCAGCAACGCCGCGUGAAGGAAGAAGGCUUUCGGGUUGUAAACCUCUUUUAAGAGGGAAGAGCAGAAGACGGUACCUCUUGACUAAGCCACGGCUAACUACGUGACAGCAGCCGAGGUAAUACGUAGGUGGCACGCGUUGUCCGGAUUUACUGGGUGUAAAGGGCGGGUAGGCGGGCUGAGAAGUCAGAUGUGAAAUCUCUUGGCUCAACCACGGAGCGGCCUUUGAAACUGUCGGUCUUGAGUAUAGGAGAGGCAGGCGGAAUUCCUGGUGUAGCGGUGAAAUGCGUAGAUAUUAGGAGGAACACCAGUGGCGAAGGCGGCCUGCUGGACGACAACUGACGGUGAGGCGCGAAAGCGUGGGGAGCAAACAGGAUUAGAUACCCGAGUAGUC
rnacentral:rRNA from 1 species